GUUUUAAUUAUUGGUAGUCUGUUGGGCACCAUUUGGGAAAGAAAUAAAUUGGUCUCAGUGUAGCAGACUUGUAGCCAAAAACUUUGAAUAAAAAAUAAGUAUAAUAAAGAAUAUUAUUUCAUUUUUAAAGGAAUUGUAUUAUUUUGAAGUGCUGUGUGGUUGAUAUGGUUUGGUUGUGUCUCUACCCAAAUCUCUUAUUGAAUUGUAGUUCCCAUAAUCCCCACAUGGGAGGGACCCAGUGGGAGGUGACUGAAUCAUGGGGGCAGUUUUCCCCAUGCUAUUCUCAUGAUAGUGAUUGAGUUCUCACGAGAUUUGAUGGUUUUAUAAGGGGCUUUUCCCCCUUUGCUCAGCACUUCUCUUUCCUGCCGCCCUGUGAAGAAGAAGGUGCCUUUCUUUCCCUUUGCCUUCCGCCAUUAUUCUAAGUUUCCUGAGGCCUUCUCAGCCAUGCAGAAUUGUGAGUCAAUUAUACCUCUUUUUUAAAUAAAUUAUCCAGUCUCAGAUAUUUCUUCAUAGCAGUGUGAGAAUGGACUAAUACAAUGGUCUUAAUCAAUUUGAAGGUAUGACACUCUUUGCUUUGGAAAUCAUGUAGACAUUUUAAGUCAUUCCUAUUUUUAAUGUAGACAAACGUCCAGGUAGCAAUUUUGGGGAUAAUAAAUGAGUUCACCCUUUUUUUUUCUUUUUUUCCCUGAGACAGAGUUUGCUCUUGUUGCCCAGGCUGGAGUUUAAUGGCACGAUCUUGGCUUACCACAACCUCUGCCUCCUGGGUUCAAGCAAUUCUCCUGCCUCAGGCUCCCAAGUAGCUGGGAUUACAGGCAUGUGCCAUCACACCCGGCUAAUUUUUGUAUUUUUAGUAGAGACAGGGUAUCUCCAUGUUGGUCAGGCUGGUCUCGAACUCCUGACCUCAGGUGAUCCGCCCACUUCAGCCUCCCAAAGUGCUGGGAUUACAGGCGUGAGCCAUCAUGCCUGGCCGAGUUCAGCUUUUAUUCACAUUUUUUCCCCAAAGUGAUUUAUUCUUCAAAGUAGACAGUUAUGUUCUAUAGAGUGUUUUGUUUUUUCUUUAAGAAAAUAAUUUACAUAAACAGAGAUUAUGGUAAACAUUUUAAAUCUUAGGCUGUUGGUUAAAUUUAAUGGUUUAAGCACUGUUGGGUUCUCUUUAAUUAAUAUUUGCAGAAGGAGAACAUAUGUGUUUCACUGAUAUGUAUGGUCCAGAAAAAUUACUUAAUUCUCAAAAAUAUGUUGCAUUCUCAUAUUGUGUUAGGGAAAAUUCCAUAAGUAGUCUAUUUUUUUUUUUCUUUUGCUGACUGUUAACAUCCAAACACCUGAAUGAAAACUGACUCAUUUCUGUAUUGGUGUUUAAAAAUAUUGAUUUGCAGAUGUUCACAGAACACUUGCAUUUUUUGAUUCACAUUGCUAAAUCAAAUGUAAAGGCAAAUAUGUAUAUUUAAUAAAUGAGAAGUAUUUUUUUAUUACUGAAAUUUAUUCUCAAAGCAAAUGUAUUUUGUAGAUGUUUCAUUUGGGAGAUUUUGCUUUGCCUUAAAACAUACAAAAUAAACCUGUCUUGUGGUCUGCCCACCUCAAAACCUCUGUUAACUUGACAUGUAGAAGGAGUUCAGAAUUCUUUGAUAAUGUGUGGUUUUCACUUUUGUUUGGAUUAAACAAAAAUAAAAUUAGAGUCCAUAGCACUUUGUAAACUAAUGUGAAGUUUCUUGUUGAAUCAUAAAAGCUACCUGUAUGUACUUUAUAAUUUAAUGUUCUGUUAGUAAAAAUUGUCAGCAUUUUAUCUUUUUCUCUUCUCAUUACAUUUUAGUCUCCAAUCUUUCCCACUCUCAGCAGUCACAGUUUUGCAGAGCAAAACAUUUUUAGAAACUGAAUAUGUGUGAGUUCUAUAUAAAAUGAAUGUGUUAGUAACAUCCAUCUGCUGAUCAAGGAGGCAUUGGAUCUGGUACUAGAAGGUGAAAUUGAUUGUAGCUAUCAAAGCAUUUUAUCAAUGUAAGUCAAGAAAAAAGAAGAAAACUGUGAACCUCUGAUAUUUUUAACAUAAAAACUGUUCCCAAUGAGUGUUCUCUUGCUGAUUUUGUGUUAAUGUUAUUGUCUAUGAUUUUUAAGCUAAUGCUAAUAUAAAAUCUAAAAUUUCAACAUGAUGACAACAAUUCCUGUAGCCUGUUUUUACCAUUAGGAUGUUUUUGAAAACAGAUGUCAUCUUAGAAAUUAUAUUUUUAAGUGCAAAUAAAUCAUCCUGACUUGAAAGUCAACACAUUUUAUUUUUCAUUCCGUAGUAUCACAGAAUAUGCUGCAUUUAGAUACAGGUUUAAUUUGCCAGAUUUUCUCAAAAUUCUGUAUUUUUAUAUUGCUACAACUGGUUUACUUAACAUGCAAUUGAAUUGUUAUUUAAAUAAAUUACAUUUGAUGG
rnacentral:lncRNA from 1 species